AUGACAUUCCUUUUCUAAUUUAUUGCAAUUUUAGUCUGCCUCAUUAAUAUUUCAUUUUUCCUGUUGUGUUUGGUCAAUUGCUUUAACCUUACAGAAUUCAGAUGUAUUCAUUUUAAUAUAUUUUUGGGUAUCUUUUUCCUUCUUGGAAACAUUUAGUUUUUAUAAAUUGAGCUAGAGGACUGUUGAUCUCUCACCUCCCAUUCGUCCAUUUCAUAGGAAACUUGAGAAUUAAGUUUUAAUACAGUUUAGGUAUCUCAAGGUUGACAGAUCUUGCAAUGGUUGAAAUUUCGAUAGCGGGUAUUUCAAUUUUUAAAUUUUGUGUAUCUAUAAAUCAAAAUAUACAUUUGUUUUGAAUUUAUGAUGACUGCGGGUGUGAUAACAUGAUUUUCGAGAUGAUCCGUUUGAUAAUAUGUGAGUUUUCAUGAUUUGGUAUGUUUGGGUGUUCACAUGAUUCACUUUGUUCAACAUUUGAGAAUUUUAAGGUCACAUGAGAAUUUCAUUAGUUGCACUGGUUUCAAAUAAUCGUUUUUGGACUAUUAGGACCAUUUUUUAUUUUUUUUUUGCAUUUCGAGGCGUUUUGAUGAAUUUUGGAUAGUUGGUUUUAAGGUUGAAAGUUUGAGGCAUAUAUUUGAAUUCGGUCAAGAUUCAUUGGUAGCAGCAAAGCACCAUCAGUCCAAUAAUUGAUUUAGAGACAUUUGAUGUAGAACCCUCGAUUUCAAUAUGAAGAUCUUUUCGCUUCAAAAAUGCAAGCACCAUGUGUUGUGAUUUCCUUGUCCUGGCAAAGUAUUUUCUUACUUCUAGAUAUUUUCAUUGAACCAUCGUUGGAAACAUCCUUAACUUUCUAAAAGUAUUGAGUGCAGCUUCAAUAUUUGAAAACACCACUGUUCCAUUAUUGUUAGUACAAUAUAUAACAGAAGAUAUUUCAGCAUUACAUUGCCUUUUAGAAUUAUAAGGUGGAGGAUAGGAAUUAUGAUCUAUGGAAUUAAGAAUGUAAGUAUGAUAAGGAGUAAUUGAAAAUGUCUGAAUUAAUCAAUGGAUAGAGAAACAUAUAAAGAGAUAAUCUUUUUUUUGUCACAAAAAGAAAUUAUCUUUCUUAGCUCUCUUCUUCAUAUCUUGAACCAUGCAUGAAUUCUUUAACUUGUAACGUGUAGAACUUCAGAAGUCAUUUAAUUUUCUUUCUUCCGGAUGUAUUUUGAAUUUUAAGCAUAUCUUUAUGUGGGAUGUAGAGGAGGAAAGAAAAAUGUAGUUCUACGACAUGAAAAAUAAAUAAAUGAAUGAAUGAAAAAUGUAGAAAAAUGCACAUUUAUUAUAAAUGUAUUAGGCCACUUAAUGCUAGCCCGGAUGACAUGUGUGGUCCAUAUUAAUAAUCUAUUGAUUGGACAUACAUAGGCAUCAGAUCCUUAAUAAUAGCUUCAAAAUUAGGUUGGUCAAGUAUGGCCAUGUACGCACUAUGAAUCCCACUAUGACCCAUAUGGGCAAACAAUGUUUGUUUCUCCACAAUGUUGAUAACUCUUUUGUGAUGCCAUGUAAGUUCUUAGAUUCCACUUUUACAACCCAUAACUUGGUUGUACAUGGUUACCCAUGCCUUAAAAAUAGCCCAACUUUGCGGAGGUCGCAAUCACACUACCAUAUAUGGUCCACAGGUGGCUUCCAACCAAAUAGGAAAUAGGGAGAAAGAAGAGAAUGAGUCAUUGAGUUGAGCCUCAUCCUAGAUCCCUCCCAGUAAUUGUUUUGUUAUAUUUGCGGUCUGGGGAUGUAGUAGUAUGAUUUACGAGGUGGUCCAUUGGAUAAUAUGUGAGUUUUUUUAUUGAAAUGUUUGUGUGUUUACAUGAUUGACUUUGAUCGAUAUUUGAUGAGUCUAAGAUCGUACGUGAAUUCUAACAGUUCCACUAGUUUUGAAAUAUCAUUUUUGGAUUCGUAGACUAUUAAUUUGCAUCUCGAGGCAUUCAGAUAAAUUUUUGAGUAUCUAAUUUGAAGGUUGGAAAUUUAAGGCUUAUUUGAAUUUGGUCAAUAUUCAAUAAAAGCACCAUGAAAUCAUUGAUCCAAUAAUUGGUUGAGCUUGAGAGACAUUCAAUGUAGAACAAUAUCUGUCAGUAUGAAGAUCUUUUUGCUUCAAUACUGCAUGCUCCUCCAUGUUUGUGAUUUCCUCAAGCCCAGUGAACUCAUUUUUAUCACUAUUUAUUUUGAUUGAAUCAAUGUUGGAAUAUCCUUAACUUUCUAAAAGUAUUUACUGCAGUUUCAUAAUUUGAAAACACCUAAGUUUCAUUGUUGUAAGAAUUGUAUAUGAUGACAGCAAUACAACACCUAAGAUAUUUCAGCAUUACAGGCUCUCAGAAUUAAAAGUUGGAGGAUUGAAAUCAUGAUCUGCAAAAUGAUGAAUGUAAGUGUAAACAGGUAAUUUUAUCUCUCCCCAAAAAUAAUAUUUAUGAUUUACCUCCUCCUAUCCUACCCCUACGAAUCCCCUACCCCCACCUAAUCCCACCAACUACCUGACACAACAACACUCUGAAAAAACAUUACUCACACAUACUACAAUACAAUGCACACCCACUUACACAGAAACCCGACGAAAAAAAAUAAAAAACAAAACACAAAUCACUUAUCAUUUUCCAUUAACUGAAUAUACACACCACAUACCAGUGAGGGGAGAAUUAAAAAAGGGAGAAAAGGGAAAGAGAUUGAAAACACACUUACACCCAUGGAUUCACACACACUGGAAUAGAAAAAUCAGAGAGAGAGUGAAGGGAAACAGCUGAACAGAGGAGAAAAUGGAGAGAAAACUGAGGGUGAUCGGAAAGAGUGAGAGAGACGCUAGAGAGAGAGACGGAGAGAGAGAGGAGAAUGUAGAAAACCGUGAGAAAAAGGGUGAGGAAGCAGCAGCCCACACCAUUGGAUUUUCCGGCGAAAUCUUGCUGUAAACAUCCCCUCCACCGGCGACACACCAGCAACGCCCAGUCCCGAUUCCAACCGGAUCCCGCCGGCGACCACCAGAUCCACCCCUUCCUCCGAUUUUCUGAUCAGAUCACAUCCAACAGUCACCCCUUCCCUUUUCGGCGAAUAUCCAUCGGGAAACCAUUGAAAAAAAUGGGUCUUCGUGAUUUUGGUCCAGCUUGGCGAAAAAAAAAAGAGCAAAAAGGGUUAUAUCGAGGUUUGUUUUUGUUCGUUAUUUGAGGUUUGGUUUGAGAUUUGGACGCGGUUUUAAUCAGAAGGAGUAAUUUCAAUUGAAAAUUCGAGGUUCAAUUCUCUCAUCUUUUUCUUUUAAGUUUAUGUGAUCGUUUUGUUUGAUGUUUGUUCGUGGUAAAAAAUUAAUGCCGAUGAUAUAAAUUUGAUGACAAUGUGAAUUUGGGUAGUCAAUUUUGCGUGGAGAGUUUGUGUUAAAAAAUGAAUUCGGGGGUGAUAAUUCUAGAUUACUAAGGGUGAUAUCGAUAGUUUUGAUUUAUCGAUGUUGGUUUAAUUCGAAAUAAAUAUUGAUGUUGUUGAAUGUGACAGUAUCAUGAUAGGACGAAAUGGGUAGACAAACGGUAGGCUGGGUAGGCAAAAGUUUAGGACUUGUGGAUUGUUGAAUAUUUGAAUGUUUGUUGAUUGAUUUUGUUUUAUCGUAUUUGGAUCAAUUAUACUCAUUUGGUCGGAGAAUGCCUCGAGGUUUCAGGUAUUGUUUGAUUCUGGGAAUGCCCCAAGGUUAUAUUUAUUUUUUUAUUGAGGGAAUGCCCUGAGGGGAGUUGUAAUCGAAAAUGCCGAGUGAUCAAGGCUCGAGGCACCGGAUGCAGCGUAGUUUAGGAUUAGUGUAGGUUUAUAUUUCAAUAUUUUUAUUCUAAUUUGUAAUAAACUGGGCUGAACACUAUUUUAGAUUUUUGAUUGUUUUGGUUGUUUGUUUUUUUAUUUAUGUGUUUUUGUUUGUUUA